rfam:Oryza glaberrima chromosome 5 Oglab05_0019_4, whole genome shotgun sequence.
AAUAAGUGUAGUUUUGCACUAUUCAUAUCUAACGUUUGACCGUUCGUCUUAUUAAAAAAAAAUAUGAUUAGUAUUUCUAUUGCUAGUACAGUAGAUGAUAAAACAUGAAUAGUAUUUUAUGUGUGACUAUUUUUUUAAAAAAAUUUCACAAAUAUUUUAAAUAAGACGGAUGGUCAAACAUUGGACAUAGAUAUCCAUAAUUGCAUUUAUU